rnacentral:rRNA from 1 species
UUGGAGGGCAAGUCUGGUGCCAGCAGCCGCGGUAAUUCCAGCUCCAAUAGCGUAUAUUAAAGUUGUUGCAGUUAAAAAGCUCGUAGUUGAAUUUCGGGGUUCUACCGUUGGUCGGGCUUUGUCUGUACUGGUGUGUAGAAUUUCUACCUUCUGGGGAACCAUCAUGCUAUUAAUUUAGCGUGGUGGGAAACCAGGACCUUUACCUUGAAAAAAUUAGUGUGUUCAAAGCAGGCUUAUGUCUGAAUACAUUAGCGUGGAAUAAUAGAAUAGGACGGUGGUCCUGUUUUGUUGGUUUCUGAAUCACCGUAAUGAUUAAUAGGGAUAGUUGGGGGCAUUAGUAUUCAAUUGUCAGAGGUGAAAUUCUUGGAUUUAUUGAAGACUAACUUCUGCGAAAGCAUUUGCCAAGGAUGUUUUCAUUAAUCAAGAACGAAAGUUAGGGGAUCGAAGACGAUCAGAUACCGUCGUAAUCUUAACCAUAAACUAUGCCGACUAGGGAUCGGACGAUGUUAAUUUUUCUUGACUCGUUCGGCGCCUUACGGGAAAC